rnacentral:rRNA from 1 species
UACGAAGGGGGCUAGCGUUGCUCGGAAUUACUGGGCGUAAAGGGAGCGUAGGCGGGUUAUCAAGUUGGAGGUGAAGGCCCAGGGCUCAACCUUGGAAUUGCCUUCAAAACUGAUAGCCUAGAGUAUGAUAGAGGUAUGUGGAACUCCGAGUGUAGAGGUGAAAUUCGUAGAUAUUCGGAAGAACACCAGUGGCGAAGGCGACAUACUGGGUCAUGACUGACGCUGAGGCUCGAAAGCGUGGGGAGCAAACAGG